ACUGUAGACAUAUACAGAAUUGGGCGGCAGAGCAGACUGCAGAGUGGAAAGGUGACGGGCCACAAGCUCCCGACAGUGGAUCAGCUGGGAGCUGUCCAUCUAGAUUGGAGAAACAGACACGGGCAUUGCAAAACAAGAUACAGAUCCAGAGAUUAGCUCCACUGAAUUCGACACAGUUACAACCAGCUAAAGAUCGGUGCCAUAAAGUCAGAUCAACCAAAGUCUAGGCUUAUUUCCACUUUCUAAUCUGGGGGCUCAAUUCUACUCUCAUGCCCAUUGACACUAUGGGGGAUAUCCUCUGACUUAUACCAGCAAGAGAACAAUCAGCCCCAGUCUGUCUCUGUGCCAUGCAAAUAUAUCAUUAAAGGUACAUGCAUCUUCUUGUAACUUGCCUAUGACUUGACUCCGCUUUUAUUGGAUGGGUGUGUUACACUGACUGCAGCAACAACUACUAUACUGGUGUCAAAGAUUUCCUGGAGCCUAGGGACACAAAUCAACUUGAAUGAACAAGAAGUAGGUCUAUGU